rnacentral:lncRNA from 1 species
GUCAGGGCAGUGAGAAAGCAAAGAAAUAGAUGUGAACCUGAAGAGCUGUGGGUUGGAAAGAUAAAUAGCUUAUUUCAUUAGGAAAACUUUGAGAGACAUAGUAUUGCCAAAUUCUAGAAAGUGAGUCAGUCCUUAAACGUGGACUAAUUGUAGCCAUGCAUUGAAUGUAAUACACGUAUUUUAUCAUACAAAAUUUAUAAAAUUAACAAAUAUUAUAGUAAUAAAAUUUUUAACUUAUACAAUUAACAAAUGUUAUAAUAUGUAUUAAGAAAUUACUGUAUAACUAAUGGGUACUAGGCUUAAUACCUGGGUGAUGAAAUAAUCUGACAACAAACUCCCAUAACACAUAUUUAGCUAUGCAACAAACCUGCACAUGUACCCCUGCAAACUAUGUGUCCAUCAACAGAUGAAUGAAUAAAGAAUGUAUGAUAUCAUUCUCAGUAAACUAUCACAAGGACAAAAAACCAAACACCGCAUGUUCUCACUCAUAGGUAGGAAUUGAACAAUGAGAACUCUUGGACAGAGGAAGGGGAACAUCACACACCGGGGCCUGUUGUGGGGUAGGGGAAGAGGUGAGGGAUAGCAUUAGGAGAUAUACCUCAUGUAAAUGAUGAGUUAAUGGGUGCAGCACACCAACAUGGCACAUGUAUACAUAUGUAACAAACCUGCACGUUGUGCAUGUGUACCCUAAAACUUAAAGUAUAAUAGUAAAAAAAACCGUAUGAUACAUGUAUACAAUGGAGUACUAUUCAGCCAUAAAAAUGAAUGAGAUUCUGUCAUUUGCAUCAAUAUGGAUGGAACUGGGGGUCAUUAUGUUAAGUGAAAUAAGCCAGGCACAGAAAGACAAACUUCACAUGUUCUCUUAUUUGAGAAAGCUAAAAAUUAAAACAAACUCAAAAAAAAAAAAAGAAACUAACCACACACACACAAAAUGUGUUACACACUAUAUACAUGAUUCCACUUAAUCUUUACUGGUGCCUAGGAGGUAGAUGCAUUAGCAUUCUUAUUUUAUAUAUGAGAAAGCUCAGAUUUGGAAAGAUUCAUUAACUUAUUAUUUAAGUUAUAAUAACUUAAUAACUUAUUAUUUAAGUUAAAUGGCAGAGCCAGUCCUAAAAUGCUCCUCCACCUGACUUAAGAGUUUUGGGUCACACCUAACCAGAAAUUCUAACAAAGGGAAGCAAAUGUAAAAACAUAUGAACAUAAAACACAUGAACAUAUGAACAUGAGAUUCAAUGUCACAGGCAACAGAAUAAGAAAGUAGGUUGAUUCAGAACUCAGAUUUUAUCUUCUAGCACGGUGAUAAUAACAAAACACUUCCAGACACCUGACUUAGAACCAGAAUUUUUACACUCAAAAAUAAGCUAUAUCAAAUGUCCACUUAGACUCAUGUCAUUAUAGUAAUAAGCUAAUUUAUAAUCAUUGUUAAUUAUCAAAUUGUCAGAUGUUAAUACUACAACAGCAGCAACAAGAAUAAUAAACCACUCUCUACCAGGAAAAACUGACUCAUGCAGCCAAUACCAGGCUUGCUUCGUCAGGGUAUUGGCAUAUUAACAAUGAUGGAUGUGUAAGCAAAGAGCUGUAAAUCUGGAUGCAGGGACUCUUGAACAUCAACUAGAAGGAAGUGAGAUGAUCAAGUAUUUUUCUCUUGCCAGAUAUCAUUUCAUAUAUUCACUAAAAUAGUUCAUCAUCUGCUCUCUGAGGCAAUGAAGUUGCUUAAGUAAAAUUACUAUGGCUGCCCUAUUUAUUUCAGUUACACCCAGUUGAAAAAAUAAUUUAAUUUGAAGGAACUGAAUAUAAAUUUAUUCUUCCAUAUCUUUCUAUAAAAUAAAGGUCUAUUAAGGUCUUUAUAUUUUAAGUGUAACCUAAAAACUCCUAUUUUUUUUUCUGAUAACCACAAUUCUUGCCACAUGACAGCCUCAAAGAUGCUUUUGCUAGAAUAGCUAUAUGCCAAAAUGUUGGAUAUUUAAAAUACAGUUCUGCCUCUGACCUUCUUGUUGACACAAACCCUGUAACAUUUUUCUAAGAAUCAUUCUGAAUUCUGAUGCUGCUAAGAGUUAACAUUUAUUUCUCACUUUCGUUGUUUCCUUCCAUCUGAGUGACAUGCCUGGCCUCCCCAGCUUGAUUCAGAUUGUGAAUUCAUCAGAUUGGUAGAGUCUGGGAGACGACUAACUCUCCUGGCUGCCAGCCUGCCUGUGCUUCUGUUUGUGCACACCAGCAGCUGGAAACUCACCAGUUGAAUGAUAUGCAGCCUGGGGACAACUGAGACUUUCCUUGCACUCAACUUCUACAUCCUGGAUUUAGAUAAUGUUUGUGUAUCUGAGUCUAAAGAUACAUUAUCUUCUCAUCCCAAGUGAACAGAUUGGGAAAAAUGGUCAAAGAGAAGCUAACUAACUUGCCUGAGGACUCUCAGAAGUGUCAGAACUACGAUUUGAAUACAGACCCACUCCUUAAGUCCAGAGGCUAUACUGUCUCUAGCUUCAUAAUGAAUACCUAAGAUGUCCUUGUGAUUCAAUUGAUAUUAAACCACUUUAAAUAUUAAUGUGAUUUUUUCUUAUCUAUUUGCCAAGUUUUCUCUGUGCAUAAUUACUUACCACUGACUCUCAACUCUUGCUUGCUACUGACUUCAAAAACAAACCCACUCCUGCUCCCGUGGCCCCUAUAUUUCAAACGUUCACUUUCAUUUCCUUUAUCUGUUCUAAUCUUACCCAUCCUUCAUGGCUUGGGGUAAAUUCAUCACUUCCAGCAACUCCUCCCAGCUACUCAAUUCAGCAACAAAGGGGGUCUCUCUUCUGUAAUCUCCUUUUGCCUACAGAAACAAAUUGCUGGCUCCCUCUCACUAAAUAAAUAUUCUCGAGAUCUGAAUCCCAC